AGCAGCCGCGGUAAUUCCAGCUCCAAUAGCGUAUAUUAAAGUUGUUGCAGUUAAAAAGCUCGUAGUUGAAUUUCGAGAUCAAAUUGUUGGUCGUGCCUUGGUACGCACUGGCAUUAUUGGUUUCUCCCUUCUGACGAACCAUGAUGUCAUUAAUUUGGUGUCUUGGGGAAUCAGGACUGUUACUUUGAAAAAUUAGAGUGUUUAAAGCAGGCUCACGCUUGAAUACAUUAGCAUGGAAUAAUGAAAUAGGACGUUUGAUUCUAUUUUGUUGGUUUCUAGGAUCGACGUAAUGAUUAAUAGGGAUAGUUGGGGGCAUUAGUAUUCAAUUGUCAGAGGUGAAAUUCUUGGAUUUAUUGAAGACUAACUACUGCGAAAGCAUUUGCCAAGGAUGUUUUCAUUAAUCAAGAACGAAAGUUAGGGGAUCGAAGACGAUCAGAUACCGUCGUAGUCUUAACCAUAAACUAUGCCGACUAGGGAUCGGAUGAUGUUAAUUUUAAUGUA
rnacentral:misc_RNA from 1 species